rnacentral:lncRNA from 1 species
UAUGCAGGGGAAUGUAUGAAUAGAAGACAUCUUUCAGGAAAUUUUGUUGACGAUCCUGAAGCAUUAUUCAAGAAGACGAGAGCCAAGCUAAAGAAAUCAUCAACACUUCACGAAGAAGCUUCAUCCAAUCAAGAAGAUCACCGGAACUUGUCUUCAGAGUUCGAAGCCAUGGCGAACAAAUCAAUCCGCGAGUUCUCAGCUCCCACUACGG